UACGUAGGGUGCAAGCGUUUGUCCGGAAUUAUUGGGCGUAAAGGGCUCGUAGGCGGUUUGUCGCGUCGGGAGUGAAAUCCACUGGCUUAACUGGUGGCUUGCUUUCGAUACGGGCAGACUGGAGGUAUGCAGGGGAGAACGGAAUUCCUGGUGUAGCGGUGAAAUGCGCAGAUAUCAGGAGGAACGAGCCGGUGGCGAAGGCGGGUCUCUGGGCAUGUCCUGACGCUGGAGGAGCGAAAGU
rnacentral:rRNA from 1 species